rnacentral:rRNA from 1 species
GACAAACGCUGGCGGCGUGCCUAAUACAUGCAAGUCGAACGGGGAAAGCUUUCGGGUGAGUACUAGUGGCGCACGGGUGAGGAACGCGUGGAUAAUCUGCCUUAGAGUGGGGGAUAACUAGUCGAAAGAUUAGCUAAUACCGCAUAAGACCACGAGAGCUGCGGCUUUUGAGGUCAAAGGUUUUUCGCUCUAAGAUGAGUCCGCGUAAGAUUAGCUAGUUGGUGAGGUAACGGCUCACCAAGGCGACGAUCUUUAACUGGUCUGAGAGGAUGAUCAGUCACACGGGCACUGAGACACGGUACAGACUCCUACGGGAGGCAGCAGUAGAGAAUAUUGCACAAUGGAGGAAACUCUGAUGCAGCGACGCCGCGUGAGUGAUGAAGGCCUUCGGGUCGUAAAGCUCUGUCGCAGGGGAAUAACACAAUGAAGGUACCCUGUAAGAAAGGAUCGGCUAACUUCGUG